AACAUUUACUAGAAUGAGUCUGUUUAACACACACGCCGAAAAUAAAAAUAAUAGUUUAAUUUUUUUUAGAAAACAAGUUAAACUGGCAGCCUGUAAAAGUCGGGACCUACCUGCGUGGACGACUCCAUGAGUGGGACGGCAUCCUCGAUGGUUCCAAUUUCCAGCCCAUUCCCCGAUUUUCAUUCCCGAUGACAGGCAACACAAGCUGGAGCGGCUGUGUAGCUGUGGAGGAGAGCUGAUGACACGACAUUUAUUACCGUUUUCCCACACACUUGCAAACAUCUCAUGAGGCCCAGAACUGAAGCGGUUACAUGUGGAGUAAACUGCUUAGAAGAUGUUCAACGGAUGAUGCAGGAACGGGCAAUAUGAAAGUGAAUUCCCUUGAAGCAUGCUUCACACACACACACACACACGCACACACACACACAGAGUGAGGAACAUGAGAAAUGGGCGAGGAGCCAUACUGUUCAACGUGAACUGGAGGGUCCAAGUCGCUAAACUAAUCCGAGUACCUCAAGAUCCCACUUUCAGCCAAGUCUUUUGCUGCAGCUGCCUGGGAUCAUUUCACAAACACAAGGUAUUCCUGGAAGAAUUGAUUCUGUUAGAUAGUACAUUGAUCACACACAUCGCCUGCGGACAGAAGAUGGCUUUACAAGCAAUAAGAUGGGAGACAAUUAUAUUAUUUUAGUGAAAUAAGACAGAGUACAAGCAGCGAGUGCCAAUAGCCCAGGCAGGGGGAGGGAGGGACAGGAGUCCCCCCUCCACCCCCUCUGCGCCUGCCUGAGUGUGUUUGUGCUCCAUCCUCAAGUGGCACGAUAAUCCACUAAACUUUCCUCCGCCCGCUUCUCUCAAUGCAAUCAGGAUGCGAAGGCUCACCAGUGAUUGCAUUCAUUUGUAAAAGCAUCCAAGCCAAAAUUGAACCCCAAGGCUGAUAAACUAUAAAGAUGCUGAUCAGAUCGCGGCUAAGGAGUCCACACUUGGGGGCACAAGUGUCAGGGCUGGAGCCAAAAGAGCAAUGACUCUGUAUACCUCAGUCAGAGCCAGGCGAGUGGCCUGGAAUACAAACAAGACGGCAGAAAACACACAGAAGAAGAAGAAACGACGACUCUAUUUUACCAGCAGGAGGUAUUAUCUGUUCAGCAGAUUAGUCAUUUUUUUUAGGUGCCAUUUCUUUUUUCUGGGCUGCAUACACAACUGGAGUGCGCUUGUUACUGGAGCUUCUGCAAAUGUAUGUUCUUUAGGAGUUUUAUGAUGCAUCAAAAUAGAGACCUGAAAGAAACGGUAUUACAGGGGAGCUAGAUGUUUUAAUCUGGCAGUGAAUUAUUGAAUGUGACAUAUUGUGCACAACUCUCCUUUUGCAUUCCUCUGUGCUGUCCUGUGGGUCUCUACUGCAUAACAAGACAAAAACCAACCCGUCCAUUUUGUCUGUUUGAUUUUAUGUGCAUAAAACAAGCCAUUUCACAAAGGUCCCUUUUGUGAUGUCACAAAUGGAGAAAUUAGCAUAGAACUGCCUUUCACGGGCAAGAGAGAGCCAGUGCGGCUUUACUUUGAACCCCUCCCAGAUAUCGGAGCUUCUCGGCUUAUAGCAGCCUGAGCGGGGAUGGGUAGGCGUGGCCAGCUCCAGCUUGUUUUAUAAAAGUGACAGAGCCCUGAAACAGCUCAUUCUGGAAGGUACUGAAAAUGUCUGGAAAAAAUCAGCUGAAAUUGCUUCAUGUGAGAUGGAUUUAGUGCAAAGAACUCCAUUGAACUAUUAUAACUUAAUAAAAUCAGUCAUAUGUCCCCUUCUGGUAAUUUAUGACUCCCAAGGUCCCGCAUAUUGCUCCGACUUUUGCCACCAGUGGAGAUGGUGCAACUUUUUAGCUUUACCGCAGUCUCUACCUGGUAAUUGUCUCCCUCUAAAUUAACAGUGUCAUUACUUUAAACACAUAUCUGCCUCAGCUAAAGCACAAAAGCAGACUGACGCAGGGAAAAGAAGGAAAGAAAGAAAGUGAAGAUCUGAGGUUGUUUUUUCCUUUCCCAUCUCCGUGGCCCCAGUGCGUUAAAUGUCAAAGAGCAGUCAGCGGGAGAGACUGAUUCCAGGAGGCGAUGUGAAUGGGACGAUUGAAGACCUGCUUUGAUUGACAGCUCUUCCUCUCCCGCUCUGCCCUGAGGGUGAUUGACAAUGUGGUUCAUCUCACAUUUUGUGACUGAGCUAAUCCAGUAAAUUCCUACCAGACGCGGCUCAACUCAGCAGAGACGUGCCGCUCCUUUCCCAGGUGGAGUCCUCAUUUUAUUUCGUCUUUCCCCAAAAUAAAUAUGUUUUUUCCCCCUCCAUCUGUGGCACUGACAACAAACUGGGGAAGAGGACAGGCGGGUGGAGGGGGUCUAUAAUUAAGUGUAAGUACAUAAUUAAGUGAGUUUAGAAAAGUGAGUUUUUCUAUGAAUUAAAAUGUAGACUAAUGACAUGUGGGAAUUAUCCUGCUGUUGUGUUGGCGAUUAACAUUGUCACCGGUUACUGUCGCAAUGUGCCGCCUGUCGGAGAUGGGAUCACCUUACUGGAACGACUGAUCUCUUGCCAGGUUCAGUAAUUAAUUGACUCAACAUUUUCUGACACACAACUGUCUCACACGGCGUCCCUCGUGCCCACAAGGUGUGCCGCUCGUCCUCUUGACCUUGCACCUGUAUUUUGAUGUGCGCCGGUUUCCCAGAAACUCUCUUCCGCCGUGCUGCAGCUGGCUUUUCAAAGAGGAACAAAAGCAGAGGAACAAAACUAAGAGACGCAAUCUAUUUACAAGGUCCUCAGCUCCGUUUUAGGGCGUGGAAGCUUUUUGGACAUUUUUUGUUUUUUUUGACACCGGUGACACCAAUUAAUGGAGCUGCCCAAUAAGGAUAGGCGUGUGCAACAUGUCUGACGCCUCCAUUAAUCAUCAUUCCUAAAUGAUCGCUCUGCAAGGGGAUUCAUUUAAGCAUGAUUAAUUGCAGAGUGGGCCUAAUCAGGCGAUGAAUUACCUGCCUAACCUUUUGCAGGAGGUUGUUGUUAACCUCAAGUCAAAGCAGUGGAGCUCGAGGUAGUUAACUGUGUCAAGGAAAAUUAAAACACAACAAUAACGAGAAUAUGGAAAAGCUCACAUCUUAAAAGCAGCAUCAAAACAACAGUGCUAUAGUUAUGUUUACUAACUUGUAGUUAGCCAGAGGAGCUACAGUAUUUAGCAAGCUAACUUCUACUUCCUGCAACAGGAGCACCAGGUGGUUUGUUUAUUUAUUUUUUUGCACAGAGAACAACUCAAAAGGCAUUCACAAAUUCUCGUCGUCUUCCUCCGCUUAUCCGGGUCCGGGUCGCGGGGACAGCAUCUCAACUAGGGAGCUCCAGACCGUCCUCUUCCCGGCCACCUCCACCAGCUCCUCCGGCAGGACCCCAAGGCGUUCCCGGACCAGAUUGGAGAUGUAACCUCUCCAACGUGUCCUGGGUCGACCCGGGGGCCUCCUGCUGGCAGGACCUGCCCGAAACACCUCCCCAGGGAGGCGUCCAGGAGGCAUCCUGACCAGAUGCCCAAUCAACUGACCCCUUUCGAUCCGGAGGAGCAGCGGUUCUACUCAGAGUCCUCCCCGAAUGUCCGAGCUUCUCACCCUAUCUCCAAGGCUGAGCCCGGCCACCCUACGGAGGAAACUCAUUUCGGCCGCUUGUAUCCGCGAUCUCGUUCUUUCAGUCAUUACCCGAAGCUCAUGACCAUAGGUGAGGAUUGGGACGUAGAUCGACCGGUAAAUCGAGAGCCUGGCUUUCUGGCUCAGCUCCCUCUUCACCACGACAGAUCGGUUCA